rnacentral:rRNA from 1 species
CCCUUAGAUGUUCUGGGCCGCACGCGCGCUACACUGACGAAUGCAACGAGCUUAUAACCUUUGCCGAAAGGUCUGGGUAAUCUCCAAAUUUCGUCGUGAUGGGGAUAGAUUAUUGCAAUUAUUAAUCUUCAACGAGGAAUGCCUAGUAAGCGCAAGUCAUCAGCUUGCGUUGAUUACGUCCCUGCCCUUUGUACACACCGCCCGUCGCUCCUACCGAUUGAAUGGUCCGGUGAAGCGUUCGGACCGUGGCCUUUGGACGGUUCGCCGCCUGUUGGCUGCGGGAAGUUCGUUAAACCUUAUCAUUUAGAGGAAGGAGAAGUCGUAACA